rnacentral:rRNA from 1 species
UACGGGGGGGGGCAAGCGUUUGUUCGGAAUUACUGGGCGUAAAGGGCUCGUAGGCGGCCAACUAAGUCGGAUGUGAAAUCCCCCAGGCUUAACCUGGGAACUGCAUCCGAUACUGGAUGGCUUGAAUCCGGGAGAGGGAUGCAGAAUUCCAGGUGUAGCGGUGAAAUGCGUAGAUAUCUGGAGGAAUACCGGUGGCGAAGGCGGCAUCCUGGACCGGCAU